GAUGAACGCUGGCGGCGUGCCUAAUACAUGCAAGUCGAGCGAACAGAUAAGGAGCUUGCUCCUUUGACGUUAGCGGCGGACGGGUGAGUAACACGUGGGUAACCUACCUAUAAGACUGAAAUAACUCCGGGAAACCGGGGCUAAUGCCGGAUAACAUUUAGAACCGCAUGGUUCUAAAGUGAAAGAUGGUUUUGCUAUCACUUAUAGAUGGACCCGCGCCGUAUUAGCUAGUUGGUAAGGUAACGGCUUACCAAGGCAACGAUACGUAGCCGACCUGAGAGGGUGAUCGGCCACACUGGAACUGAGACACGGUCCAGACUCCUACGGGAGGCAGCAGUAGGGAAUCUUCCGCAAUGGGCGAAAGCCUGACGGAGCAACGCCGCGUGAGUGAUGAAGGUCUUCGGAUCGUAAAACUCUGUUAUUAGGGAAGAACAAAUGUGUAAGUAACUGUGCACGUCUUGACGGUACCUAAUCAGAAAGCCACGGCUAACUACGUG
rnacentral:rRNA from 1 species